UAUGUAGGGUGCGAGCGUUGUCCGGAAUUAUUGGGCGUAAAGAGCUCGUAGGCGGUGUGUCACGUCGGCCGUGAAAACCUGGGGCUCAACUCUGGGCGUGCGGUCGAUACGGGCAUCACUAGAGUUCGGCAGGGGAGACUGGAAUUCCUGGUGUAGCGGUGAAAUGCGCAGAUAUCAGGAGGAACACCGGUGGCGAAGGCGGGUCUCUGGGCCGAUACUGACGCUGAGGAGCGAAAGCAUGGGUAGCGAACAGG
rnacentral:rRNA from 1 species